GCCCGAUAGAACACUAUACCUGGAAUGGUUUGUGUUCCAAAUGAUUUAUCGCCGUAGGAUGGGACUGCGGCCUAUCAGUUUGUUGGUGAGGUAAUGGCCCACCAAGACUAUUACAGGUACGGGCUCUGAGAGGAGUAGCCCGGAGAUGGGUACUGAGACACGGACCCAGGCCCUAUGGGGCGCAGCGGGCGAGAAAACUUUGCAAUGUGCGAAAGCACGACAAGGUUAAUCCGAGUGGUUUCUGCUAAAGGAACCUUUUGUUAGUCCUAGAAACACUAACGAAUAAGGGGUGGGCAAGUUCUGGUGUCAGCCGCCGCGGUAAAACCAGCACCUCAAGUGGUCAGGAUGAUUAUUGGGCCUAAAGCAUCCGUAGCCGGCUCUGUAAGUUUUCGGUUAAAUCUGUACGCUCAACGUACAGGCUGCCGGGAAUACUGCAGAGCUAGGGAGUGGGAGAGGUAGACGGUACUCGGUAGGAAGGGGUAAAAUCCUUUGAUCUAUUGAUGACCACCUGUGGCGAAGGCGGUCUACCAGAACACGUCCGACGGUGAGGGAUGAAAGCUGGGGGAGCAAACCGGAUUAGAUACCCGGGUAGUCCCAGCUGUAAACUAUGCAAACUCAGUGAUGCAUUGGCUUGUGGCCAAUGCAGUGCUGCAGGGAAGCCGUUAAGUUUGCCGCCUGGGAAGUACGUACGCAAGUAUGACACUUAAAGGAAUU
rnacentral:rRNA from 1 species